GCAGUGCCAGGAUGCAGAUGUCAAGAGGAAUGCUACUACUGUGAAUGAUGAUCAGGAGAAACCUGGAGGGAUUAUGGAAGAGCUGCUCCUUGAGUUCUACUGCAUCUAUGGACAAAAGGAUGGGCUGUGGCACCUGAAAGAAAGCAUCCCUCUCUGACAUAUGCAAGAGUAAAGCUGUCUGAGGGCUUUAGCUGCUGCAUUCCUGAAACCCAUCUUUGGAAUGCUGCCAAGCCUAUGGUUUCCAGUAGGAGUAUCAAGGCAGACCCAUGUCUGGGAGACAAAGGAUGCCUGUGAAAAACAAUUUUGGUUUGGGGACUCCUUAAAGUGUUGUUUGAUUAUAUUUUUUAAGAAUUCCACUGCAGUCUAAUAUUCUUUUACUCAUUUUCUUUUGUUUUGUUGCUCAUUCACUUGUGGUUGGGCCUGUACUAUUGUCUCACAG
rnacentral:lncRNA from 1 species